UACGUAGGUGGCAAGCGUUGUCCGGAAUUAUUGGGCGUAAAGCGCGCGCAGGCGGUCCUUUAAGUCUGAUGUGAAAGCCCACGGCUCAACCGUGGAGGGUCAUUGGAAACUGGGGGACUUGAGUACAGAAGAGGAAAGCGGAAUUCCACGUGUAGCGGUGAAAUGCGUAGAGAUGUGGAGGAACACCAGUGGCGAAGGCGGCUUUCUGGUCUGUAACUGACGCUGAGGCGCGAAAGCCAGGGGAGCGAACGGG
rnacentral:rRNA from 1 species